CAGGUAACCCACUGUUCCUAGACCAGGUAACCCACUGUUCCUAGACCAGGUAACCCACUGUUCCUAGACCAGGUAACCCACUGUUCCUAGACCAGGUAACCCACUGUUCCUAGACCAGGUAACCCACUGUUCCUAGACCAGGUAACCCACUGUUCCUAGACCAGGUAACCCACUGUUCCUAGACCAGGUAACCCACUGUUCCUAGACCAGGUAACCCACUGUUCCUAGACCAGGUAACCCACUGUUCCUAG